UUUGUUUUCUUUUCUCUGUUCGUUUUGGGGCUGGAGAAUUCAAGAAGAAACACAGAGAGAGAGAGAGAGAGAGAGAGAGAGAGAGAGAGAGAGCAGAGCAGGAUCGAAGAAGAAGAGGAUCAAACUUCGGGGAGUCUUGUAACUUAGCUUCAACUCUAUUUAUUCUUCUUCUUUUUGAGCUGAACAGGGCAGCACAGUAGGUGGGGAGAGCGAGGGAGACGACUGAGCCGAAAUAAAUUCGAAGGCGAAGAAGAAGAUUGAGUUUGGGGCUUUGAUUAGAGCUGAGGAGACCGAGACUAUACACCCGGAAAGCUCGACCCAUUGAGCUAUUAUUUUCGGGGUCUUGACACAGGACCAUUGGACCCGACGGAUUACAAAUAGGGGCCCGAUCGGCCGCUGGACCCGGCGGAAUACAAAUAAGGGCCCGAUCGGCCGCUGGACUUGGCGGAAUAUAAAUAGGGGCCUGAUCGGUCGCUGGACCGGUGGAAUAUAAAUGGAGGUCAACUCUUACCGCCAGAGGUUAAUAGGCGGCCCCCGCUUAUGAGAUACGAUUGUGAAUAUGCAGAUAACUUCUUUGAGAUGUGCGAGGUCACAGUACCGUCAUAACUUUAUCGCAAGGAAAAUGCGACCCUAUGACUAUAUUGUUGUUACUUGAGAUUGGUUGUCAAAUGAGUUUUGUGAAAGGAUGAUGUUGGUAUUGGAUUCCAUAUUAUGGUAGAAUAUGUAUAUAUAUAUAUAUAUACAAUUGAUUGUCUGUGAAUCCUGAUAGUAAUAUAUUAGCUCAUUUUACUUUGAAAUAUAGUACUCACUGAGAUGCAGCUCACACCCCCUGCAUAUAUAUAUUUUUCAGACGAGCUAAGAGCUAGAUUAGUCGCACAGGAGAACUUUUAGACAACUUAGAUCAGCACGAAGGAUUUUUGGCAUAUAGACCUGCUCAUAGUAUAGGUAGUAAGUUUAUGUAAAAUGUUAUAGUUAUGUUACGACUUGAAACUUUUGUUUAGCUGGCGUAGUGAUAUGGUUGUAACAGAAUACUCUCUUGAGAGUUAUAUGUAUAUUGGAAUCAGUUAGAUUGGUUAUAUGUUUA